rnacentral:rRNA from 1 species
AUUGAACGCUGGCGGCAGGCUUAACACAUGCAAGUCGAGCGGGGAAAGGUAGCUUGCUACUUAACCUAGCGGCGGACGGGUGAGUAAUGCUUAGGAAUCUGCCUAUUAGUGGGGGACAACAUCUCGAUAGGGAUGCUAAUACCGCAUACGUCCUACGGGAGAAAGCAGGGGACCUUCGGGCCUUGCGCUAAUAGAUGAGCCUAAGUCGGAUUAGCUAGUUGGUGGGGUAAAGGCCUACCAAGGCGACGAUCUGUAGCGGGCUGAGAGGAUGAUCCGCCACACUGGGACUGAGACACGGCCCAGACUCCUACGGGAGGCAGCAGUGGGGAAUAUUGGACAAUGGGGGGAACCCUGAUCCAGCCAUGCCGCGUGUGUGAAGAAGGCCUUUUGGUUGUAAAGCACUUUAAGCGAGGAGGGGGCUACCGAGAUUAAUACUCUUGGAUAGUGGACGUUACUCGCAGAAUAAGCACCGGCUAACUCUGUGCCAGCAGCCGCCGUAA